rnacentral:piRNA from 1 species
CUCCAUUUGACUCAGAUGAGGGUUUGGAU